rnacentral:rRNA from 1 species
UACGUAGGGUGCGAGCGUUGUCCGGAAUUAUUGGGCGUAAAGAGCUUGUAGGCGGUUUGUCGCGUCUGCCGUGAAAGCCCAGGGCUUAACCCUGGGUCUGCGGUGGGUACGGGCAGACUAGAGUGUGGUAGGGGAGACUGGAAUUCCUGGUGUAGCGGUGAAAUGCGCAGAUAUCAGGAGGAACACCAAUGGCGAAGGCAGAUCUCUGGGCCGUAACUGACGCUGAGGAGCGAAAGCAUGGGGAGCGAACAGG